rnacentral:rRNA from 1 species
UACGUAGGGGCCUAGCGUUGUCCGGAUUUAUUGGGCGUAAAGAGCUCGUAGGCGGUUUGGUCAGUCAGGUGUGAAAUCUCCACGCUCAACGUGGAGGGGCCACCUGAUACUGCCAUGACUUGAGUCCGGUAGGGGAGUGUGGAAUUCCCGGUGUAGCGGUGAAAUGCGCAGAUAUCGGGAGGAACACCCGUAGCGAAGGCGGCACUCUGGGCCGUGACUGACGCUGAGGCGCGAAAGCUAGGGGAGCAAACGGG